rnacentral:lncRNA from 1 species
CACCAGUACUCCCGCUGCCGCCAAAGCCCAUCCCAGUCCAGCCAGGCGGCCUAUCUCCCAACGAGCGCAGGCCUACCUGGCGACGAGAACUUGUGGACUUUCUUUAACUUGAUUGUGGAGGCCAGCACUCGGAACUUGGGCAGCGACCUCAGCCGCCACCGCCACCAACACCCUGUCAGCGCCGCACCCACUACCAUGGCAGGGAAGAUGCCGUACAACACCUUAUCCGUGUAGUCCUGACCAGCUCGUCCGUCGUCCUUGGUCUUUCGGAACUUCCAUAUCGCGUUGAGGGCGGUGGCGUACAGCACUCCCACCCAGGCUCCCGUCCACGCGUCGUUGACGUAGAAGCGGAGGAAAGGAAGCUGGGCGGUGGGGGAAGGAGGGGAUGUAGGGGCAGGGGGGAGGCUCAGAAACGGAUUUGGCAAUGGUCAUAUUACAUUACCCUGCAGGACACAGCUGCUAGUGUCUUCACAUUAUAAAAACACUCCGUUCGCUCCCGUUUCCCUGAUUGUUCCCAGCUUUCGAGGAUCCGAGUGCUAUUUUGAGC